ACGGGGUGCAGCAGGCGCGAAAACUUUGCAAUGUGCGAAAGCACGACAAGGUUAAUCCGAGUGGUUUCUGCUAAAGGAACCUUUUGUCAGUCCUAGAAACACUAACGAAUAAGGGGUGGGCAAGUUCUGGUGUCAGCCGCCGCGGUAAAACCAGCACCUCAAGUGGUCAGGAUGAUUAUUGGGCCUAAAGCAUCCGUAGCCGGCUCUGUAAGUUUUCGGUUAAAUCUGUACGCUUAACGUACAGGCUGCCGGGAAUACUGCAGAGCUAGGGAGUGGGAGAGGUAGACGGUACUCGGUAGGAAGGGGUAAAAUCCUUUGAUCUAUUGAUGACCACCUGUGGCGAAGGCGGUCUACCAGAACACGUCCGACGGUGAGGGAUGAAAGCUGGGGGAGCAAACCGGAUUAGAUACCCGGGUAGUCCCAGCUGUAAACUAUGCAAACUCAGUGAUGCAUUGGCUUGUGGCCAAUGCAGUGCUGCAGGGAAGCCGUUAAGUUUGCCGCCUGGGAAGUACGUACGCAA
rnacentral:rRNA from 1 species